AGAAGCAACUUGUAGAAAUUGUGGCUGCUAACUGUGAUUUGAGUGGGUAAUUCCAUUCUUGCUUUUA
rnacentral:tRNA from 1 species